UUGAUACUGACUACAAGUCACUGCUGGAUGAUGUUGGUCGCUAUUUGAACAGAAUGGAUGCUUACAUGUGUGACCUCAGUCAGUUUUCAUUCCCCCCCGAAUUAACAUUGUCAACCGCCCUUUUUUGUUUUGUUUUAAAUUUUGCAUGGUAUUAAAUGUUUUUUUCAUUGCAACUAGCAGGUGAGACCUGUCAUUGAUCGGGUAAAGUCUUUUUACAAAGAUUACACUUCUGGGAAUUAAGAACAAAUAUGAAUACCAAAAAAGUUGAUAUUUCUUUGUAGGACAAAAAAUCAGGGGUGAUAGGAGCAUGGAGGGAGAUUUCUUUAUCUACCCCAGCUGCUGCAGAAGUGAACAGGAAUUUCUGGAUGAUGUCCCAGUAUCUCAUGCCUUUGAUCAGGGUCUUGGACCAGGAGAGGGAAAGAAGUAAACCCCUGAGUUUUCAUGGACUGGUACCAUCUGAAAGGUACUUCAAACUAUUGCAAACUACUGAAAUAGCUGCAUAGCUACUCUUUUCUUGGCUUAUUUAUCCAUGUAGGCCAUUUCUUCAGCAGCAAGAAAUGGCCACGG